AUUACUUCUUUGGUUGGACGUUCUCUUCUAGGUCUGCAGAGGAUCAUCUGACUUUAUUGUUCUGCAUUAGCGUCCAAUGCUCAAUCGUAACAUUAUCCUGAUUUUGACCCAACGUUUUCAUCCGUUUUAAUUCUAUCAAAUUGUAAAACUGGUCAAUCCAGACCAAUGCUUGAAGAUCAGAAAUGAAAGUUGAGCAGCCAUAGCUUGUCUGUAUCCGUGAUGGAAAUCUCAAAGAUAUCGAUGCAAACGUAGCGAGAGAUAGGAUAAGAAGUUCCAUAAUCUAUGGGAUUCCCGUCGAUGCGGCAAUGGCAAUUGGU
rnacentral:lncRNA from 1 species